rnacentral:rRNA from 1 species
UACGUAGGUGGCAAGCGUUGUCCGGAUUUACUGGGCGUAAAGGGUGCGUAGGCGGAUGAUUAAGUCAGAUGUGAAAUACCAGGGCUCAACCCUGGGGCUGCAUUUGAUACUGGUUAUCUAGAGUGCAGGAGAGGAGAGCGGUACUCCUAGUGUAGCGGUGAAAUGCGUAGAGAUUAGGAAGAACACCAGUGGCGAAGGCGGCUCUCUGGACUGUAACUGACGCUGAGGCACGAAAGCGUGGGGAGCAAACAGG